rnacentral:ncRNA from 1 species
UAAUGUUAAUGGCAAACCCACUGAAAAGCGGGGACGCAAAGUUAUAGGGUCUAAGGUGCUACAGCACUACGAUAGCCUGGUUGCCGCA